UCAAUAACUUUUACUCAUAACUGUUGAAAUAUCUUCAUAAAAGAUGAACUAUGAAACUUCAACAGAAUGUAUGCAUCAGAAACAGAUUACAAUCAUCAAUCUGAAUGAAAUUCAUUUCACUCAAAUUUACCCUGAGGCACCAAAAUACUUCCCAAUUGUGCAGAAUAACACAUUCAAUUUCCCAAGGUAUUUACCCUUGAAGGAUUGCAAGUACACCUUUGAUAGUCAGCUUCUAACAAAAGUACAAUGAACAUUUAAGAUCCAAGACUUUGUUUAGACUAUAAAGCUAUGAUUUAUGAGUUUGGCUGCUGUCAAGACUCAAGGUAUAAAAAAAUUAUUUAAAAAAAGAAACAGAGAAACAAUGAAAAGGCCAAGGUAACUUGAAAUGAAGGUUAUAUUUGUAGCAUCUGAGAAUUUGGGCCAAUGACAGUCAAAACCAAUAGAUUCAUCUAAAUGCAGGUUUACAAGCAAAUUUGCCAUCAAUUUAGACAUAAUUUCAAGUAGAAAUCAUUCAGACCUGCCCAAGUUACAGAUAACAUAUGACCACAAAUUUCAGUUUUAGGAAACUUCAUAAAAGGUAAAAUAAACUUCAGCCAGUUUCAGAUUAUUAAGGAAAUUUUAAUCAUCAAGUCCUUACAAGUAGUACCAGAGGAAACUUAAAUAUGCAUACAGCAGACUAUGCAGUUCAACAGAUAUGUGUUCCAUAACUGAAAUGGGUUCCACCAAGAUAAGAGACAUCAAUGGCUUGAGUUCAUCAAAGAUAAAUCCAGUAAAUUUCUUGAAGAAUUAGGCUAAUCAUACCCCAACUAAUUUAUACCAGGCUUGUGAAAGGCUUCCAAGCAUUAAAAAGGUGGGUCAUGAAGUUAUGAUGUGUAUGCAGGUAUAUACAGCUACUCUAGUCGACAAAAAGAGAGACAUUUUAACAAGAAAUUUACAUGUACACACACUUUUAUAUCAGAAUGAAUUCAUUUACACGUAUAAAUUGAAAUUAUAGCAAUCUCUACGACUCUACCAAUGGAACCCACAUAGAUCUCACAUGAUCAUGAUCCUCUAUCAUUGUAACUAGCAUUUAAAGAACACUAGAGUGAUCAGUACUACAGUAAGCUUGCAGUGACAAAGACCACACAACCGACAUCAGGGAAUGGUACACAAUUUCAAAAAUAAAACUUUAGAUACUGUCGUUUUACAAUGUUUCUCCAUAGUUUGUUAUUUUCUAAUGUUAAAUUAAAGCAAAGUGAGUUUUUAAAAAAGCUAAAUUAAGAGCUGUGAUUUAAGUUUUUGUUUAGCAAGAACUGUAAUUAAGUUGAAAAGUAUAAAGAAGGUCCCAUCAUACAUUCUUGCCUUACAUUAAUUUGAAGAGAUAAUGUGGCAUGUGAGAUUGUGAACUUACUUCGUACAAUUUCAUAGCUGCAUUCAAUGUCAAAACCGUUGUCCUCGCUCUGAUCGUCAUGCCCAUCGUCGUCGUCUUCGAAAGGGGGGUCCAAUACAGAAACAGGACUACACUGUUCUUUAUCUUCUUCUUCUUUAGUUUCUUGCUUUACUUGGAAGUUCAUCAAGCUUUCUACAUCGUUGUUCUCUUUAUCCUCUGUUUUAUGGUGACUAGGUGACGUGGCCGGAGAGGGGAAAUCCGGGGUCCCGUGACCAGUGGAAGGGCUUCUUCGAAGAACAAAAUGAAAAAGAUUUUCACAAGUGUGAUUGUCAUAAGAAGCAAAAUCAGUAUCAAUCCCUUCAACAUCUAUUAGUUUGUUAACAAACUCAAAAUUUCCGACACAGUCCUCUUCCUCCUCAGAUUGGCUACUACUUGAGGUCUCUAAAUCCAAAUCCCAGGACUUCUCUUCAUUGGUCUCUGACCAAACCGCGCUGCUUGGCCUCCCAUUGCAAGAGCAAGAAAAACCCAUCUCACAAUCACUCUUCUUGUGUAUAUUAACCAUAAUCUCCUGCUCUCGCUUGCUUUCUCUUUCAUUAGAUAGUUUUCUACGGCCAAGAGAAGAGUCCCACCUUAGAAUGUCCUUAACUGAAGCUUUAACCCCAUCGCCACUGAUUUCUCGCUUUCGGAUUUUAUUACGAUGAGUUAUUCGCUUUAUUAAGGACCCAAAUAAACCAAACCCAUUGUUGUUUUUGGCUUUUGGAGAUAAUGGUGAUAAUGACUGUUUUUGGAUCCUGAGGGCAGCUUCAAGAAGAAGAGCUGCGGUUUUAGUAGGGAUAUGGAGGAAGAUGGCAUUUGGGCUUUUGCAGGGGCUUUUGGAAGGAGAUUGAAACUCAAAGAGAGGUGACUUUCUGAGGUCUGGGGAGUUGUUAACAGAUAAAAAGCAAGCAUUCUUGCAGAAAUUGUGAGGGAAGUACGCGGUAUCCGAAAUGGGCUUUCGUUUCUUGAUUUGCAAGUGAGUUUUUGGAGAGGGUUUCUUGAGCUGGCAACGUUUGUCAGCAAUGUAGUUCUUGAGCAAGAAUGGUUCUUGAUCCUCUUGCAGGAGCUGGUGCAAAGGCUUUUGAGACAUCAUCAGAGUCUCUGCAACUGAUAUAAGCAAAGCACUCUCUGCUAUAGCUUCUAACAAACGAAGAAAACGAUGCUAACCGAUCUUAUAUAUAAAAAGACAAGGAAAGAAGCCAGAAUUUCUCUUCUUUUUUUUUUUUCUUUCUCUUCUUUUUCUUCAGGUGGGUGUGAAUUUCAGUACCAUGAAAGAGUCGAAGAGGUUUCAACUUUUGAACUGAAAAUGAAGCGCAAAAGGGGAAGACUGAAGGAGAAGCUGUUGCCCACAAAUAUACCAGAGGAUAGAGAGAGAGAAGGAAAGGAAUGAGGAGACUUCCUUAUUCAAAUCCGCAGUUUAGCAAAACGAGGCAAGGUGGUGCAUAAAUAAGAAAUGGCUGCAAAUUGUAUGUGCCUUUUUUUUAAUUAAAUUAACAAAAAUAUAAAGAAAUUUGUAAAAUCUCUCUCUCUCUCUCUCU
rnacentral:misc_RNA from 1 species